rnacentral:rRNA from 1 species
UACGUAGGAGGCAAGCGUUGUCCGGAAUUACUGGGCGUAAAGCGCGUGUAGGUGGUGGGACAAGUCUGCUGUGAAAGCGCCUGGCUUAACCGGGCGAGGUCGGCGGAAACUGUCCGACUCGAGGACGGUAGAGGGGGGUGGAAUUCCCGGUGUAGUGGUGAAAUGCGUAGAGAUCGGGAGGAACACCUGUGGCGAAGGCGGCCCCCUGGGCCGGCCCUGACACUGAGACGCGAAAGCGCGGGGAGCGAACCGG